UGGAGACAGAAGUUCUCUAUUUAGCCACAAAACAGGCACAGUGUCACAGUAGUAGUGACAAUAUCCCCACACUAUCUUGCCAGUGUGUCUCAACCCUGCUCUGGAAGGAUCACCUAAAGGGAUGAUCGGGAAAUUCAGGUAUCUCUGAUUCUCUUCU
rnacentral:sRNA from 1 species